CUUGCACUGUUUCUUUGCUCCCCUCGCCGUAGUCGUUCCCAUGAUCCCAUCGUUAUCUCCUCCCCACGCCCACGCCCGCACCACCGGGAGUUACUAGCCCCGCCCCACACCACAAAUCCACAAUCCAUCUGCUUUCCUCCGUCGCAGCGAGCAACGGCCGUGCUCCGGCCCGCGCCGCCGCGCCCCACGUGGCUAACCGCAGCUCCCCUUGCCUCCUGUACGGCCUGGCACCGCCUCCAACGCCACCCACGCGUCGCCGGUGCUCGGGACGAAGCUCUGCUGCCACAUCGCCCCCAUCCACCGACGGAUCCGACCUCCCACGCCACCUCGCACAUGGCCGUCGAUGAAUCCAGGUACUGUGGAAAAAGCAUGACGGCGACGAGCUGUCACUACAGAUCUGGCACGGGCUGAGACUUCGGGGAUGAAGGCCGGCGACAAGAAUAAUCUCAUCAAGUAUUAUCACUGUCGAAGUUGUAAAUUUGUUGAUGGAUCUACCGUCUUUGAAUGUAUUUGCUGACAAACUAUGUUAUCUGAAAUCAGUUUGUCAAGAUUCACCGUUAAGUUAAUUUUUGUGAAUCAUGUAUGGGCAUUAUUUUUUUGUGCAUGGAUGGGUCUGAUGAAGGGAGUUGUUUCCAGCUAAUGAAAAUAAGGCAGUGAAUUUUCUUGCCA